GGGGUUGUGGCUCAGUGGUAGUGUGCUUGCGUAUCACGCAUGAGGCAAUGGGUACGAUUCUCAUCACCACA
rnacentral:tRNA from 1 species